GACGAACGCUGGCGGCGUGCCUAAUACAUGCAAGUAGGACGCAGUUGCGAACGGGCGCGUAAAGCGUAGGUAACUACCUAUUAGAGGGGGAUAACUAUUGGAAACGAUAGCUAAUACCGCAUACUAGUAGAUGGACCUACGUUGUAUUAGCUAGUAGGUAGGGGAAUGGCCUAACUAGGCAACGAUACAUUGCCGACCUGCGGGGGUGACGGGCCACACUUGGAAUGGGUCACGGCCCAGACGCCUACGGGAAGCAGCAGUAGGGAAUCAUCGUCAAUGGGGUGAACCCUGACCGAGCAACGCCGCGUGAGUGAAUAAGGUUUUCGGAUCGUAAAGCUCUGUUGUUAAGGAAGCGGUACUUAACCAGAAAGGGACGGCUAACUACGUGCCAGCAGCCGCGGUAAUUC
rnacentral:rRNA from 1 species